GGGGUUGUGGCUCAGCAGUAGAGCACUCGCCUCGCACGUGUGAGGCUCUGGGUUCGAUCCUCAGCACCCCA
rnacentral:tRNA from 1 species